rnacentral:lncRNA from 1 species
UUUUAAAAAGGAACUUAGGGGAAUCGUUUGAAAACCUUAAAACAAACACAGAUCUAGAGGAAAAAAAAAAAGAAAACAUCAAAAGGCUAGGGUUUCAGAAGAACCCUAGAAGCAAGAAAGGCCGGUAAAACGGUCUGCUCUGAGUCGAAUGAGUCAGAAAUGGACUCAUGGGGCUAGGAUAUGUCGGAGCCAAGCCGGAGAUGGCCGCAGAACUUGAAUCGGUGAAGAUCUGAGCAAAGUCCUUCAAGGUCGGACAUUGAGUCUUUAAGUAACAGGGGUAUGAGGGCACAUGGAGGUGAGUACAGGCUGCUCAGGGCUUGGGACACCAUUGAUUCCAGUGAGAAUGAGACGAAAGUAGGCAGAAUAGGGUUAGGGUUUCUAAGAGCUAGAGAGAGUUG